GCCAAGAAAAGCCACUAAGUUUAUUAUAUGUUGCCCGUACCGUAAACCGACACAGGUGGGUGGGAUGAGUAUUCUAAGGCGCGUGGAAGAACCCUCUUUAAGGAACUCUGCAAAAUAGCACCGUAUCUUCGGUAUAAGGUGUGCCUACUUUGGUAUAUGAACUUGCUUCAAAAAGCUAAAGAGGUUGCAACAAAGAGUCCCUCCCGACUGUUUACCAAAAACACAGCACUUUGCUAACACGUAAGUGGAUGUAUAAGGUGUGACGCCUGCCCGGUGCUCGAAGGUUAAUUGAUGAUGUCAGCGCCUG
rnacentral:rRNA from 1 species